GCUUUCUCUGCGGAAUCACCAUGGCGGCUGGGACCCUGUACACAUACCCUGAAAACUGGAGGACCUUCAAGGCCCUCAUCGCUGCUCAGUACAGCAGGGCUCAGGUCCGCGUGCUCUCCGCACCACCCCACUUCCACUUUGGCCAAACCAACCGCACCCCCGAAUUUCUCCGAAAAUUUCCUGCCGGCAAGGUUCCAGCAUUUGAGGGUGAUGAUGGAUUCUGUGUGUUUGAGAGCAAUGCAUUGCCUAUUAUGUAAGCAACGAGCUGCGAGGAAGUACACCAGAGGCAGCAGCUCAGGCGGUGCAGUGGGUCAGCUUUGCUGACAGUGACAUCGUUCCUCCAGCUAGCACCUGGGUGUUCCCCACCUUGGGCAUUAUGCGCCACAACAAACAGGCCACUGAAAAUGCAAAAGAGGAGGUGAGGCGAAUCCUGGGGCUGCUGGACACUCACCUGAAGACUCGAACUUUUCUGGUGGGCGAGCGAGUGACACUGGCUGAUAUCACAGUUGUCUGUACCCUGUUGCAGCUCUACAAACAGGUCUUAGAGCCUUCUUUUCGCCAGGCCUUCCCCAAUACCAACCGGUGGUUCCUUACCUGCAUUAACCAGCCCCAGUUCAGGGCUAUCUUGGGGGAGGUGAAGCUGUGUGAAAAGAUGGCCCAGUUUGAUGCUAAGAAGUUUGCAGAGAGCCAGCCUAAAACGAUACCCCAAGGAAAGAGAAGGGUUCACGAGAGGAGAAACAGAAACCCCAGGCUGAGCGGAAGGAGGAAAAAAGGCAGCUGCCCCAGCUCCCAAGGAAGAGAUGGAUGAGUGUGAGCAGGCACUGGCUGCUGAGCCCAAGGCCAAGGACCCUUUCGCUCACCUGCCCAAGAGUACCUUUGUGUUGGAUGAAUUUAAGCGUAAGUACUCCAAUGAGGAUACCCUCUCUGUGGAAUUGCCAUACUUCUGGGAGCACUUUGAUAAAGAUGGCUGGUGCCUGUGGUAUGCUGAGUACCGCUUCCCUGAAGAGCUCACCCAGACCUUCAUGAGUUGCAACCUCAUCACUGGGAUGUUCCAGCGACUGGACAAGCUGAGGAAGAAUGCCUUUGCUAGUGUUAUCCUCUUUGGAACCAACAACAGCAGCUCCAUUUCUGGUGUUUGGGUCUUCCGAAGCCAAGAGCUUGCCUUUCCGCUGAGUCCAGAUUGGCAGGUGGACUAUGAGUCGUAUACAUGGCGGAAACUGGAUCCUGGGAGUGAGGAGACCCAGACCCUGGUUCGAGAGUACUUUUCCUGGGAGGGGUCCUUCCAGCACGUGGGCAAAGCCGUCAAUCAAGGCAAGAUCUUCAAGUGAACAUGUCUUGCCAGUCGCCUAGCUGCUUGCACCUACCCUUCAAGGGAGAUGGGGGUCAUUAAAGGAAACUGAACAUUGAAAAAAAA